rnacentral:rRNA from 1 species
UGGGGAAUUUUGCGCAAUGGGCGCAAGCCUGAUCCAGCGAUGCCGCGUGUGUGAAGAAGGCCUGCGGGUUGUAAAGCACUUUAGUUGGGGAGGAAAGGUAUGUACUGCAUAAGUGCAUGCUGUGACGUUACCCAAAGAAUAAGCACCGGCAAACUCUGUGCCAGCAGCCGCGGUAAUACAGAGGGUGCGAGCGUUAAUCGGAAUUACUGGGCGUAAAGCGUGCGCAGGCGGUUUGGUAAGACAGAUGUGAAAUCCCCGGGCUUAACCUGGGAACUGCAUUUGUGACUGCCAGACUAGAGUGUAGCAGAGGGGGGUAGAAUUCCACGUGUAGCAGUGAAAUGCGUAGAUAUGUGGAGGAAUACCGAUGGCGAAGGCAGCCCCCUGGGCUAACACUGACGCUCAUGCAC